UUUUGACCUCAGUUCAGACAAGGCUACCCGCCGAAUUUAAGCAUAUUACUAAGCGGAG
rnacentral:rRNA from 2 species